rnacentral:rRNA from 1 species
GAUGAACGCUGGCGGCGUGCCUAAUACAUGCAAGUCGAGCGCAGGAAGCCGUCUGAACCCUUCGGGGGGACGACGGUGGAAUGAGCGGCGGACGGGUGAGUAACACGUAAAGAACCUACCCAUAGGUCUGGGAUAACCACGAGAAAUCGGGGCUAAUACCGGAUGUGUCAUCGGACCGCAUGGUCCGCUGAUGAAAGGCGCUCCGGCGUCGCCCAUGGAUGGCUUUGCGGUGCAUUAGCUAGUUGGUGGGGUAACGGCCCACCAAGGCGACGAUGCAUAGCCGACCUGAGAGGGUGAUCGGCCACACUGGGACUGAGACACGGCCCAGACUCCUACGGGAGGCAGCAGUAGGGAAUCUUCCACAAUGGACGAAAGUCUGAUGGAGCAACGCCGCGUGAACGAUGAAGGCUUUCGGGUCGUAAAGUUCUGUUGUAAGGGAAGAACAAGUGCCGCAGGCAAUGGCGGCACCUUGACGGUACCUUGCGAGAAAGCCACGGCUAACUACGUGCCAGCCGCCGCCGUAA